AUCUAUGGCCAUACCACCCUGAACACGCCUGAUUGUCUGAUCUUGGAAGCUAAGCAGGGUCGGGCCUGGUUAAUAUUUGGAUGGGAGACUGCCUGGGAAUACCGGGUGCUGUAGGCC
rnacentral:rRNA from 1 species